rnacentral:rRNA from 1 species
GAUGAACGCUGGCGGCGUGCCUAAUACAUGCAAGUCGAGCGAACAGACGAGGAGCUUGCUCCUCUGACGUUAGCGGCGGACGGGUGAGUAACACGUGGAUAACCUACCUAUAAGACUGGGAUAACUUCGGGAAACCGGAGCUAAUACCGGAUAAUAUAUUGAACCGCAUGGUCCAAUAGUGAAAGACGGUUUUGCUGUCACUUAUAGAUGGAUCCGCGCCGCAUUAGCUAGUUGGUAAGGUAACGGCUUACCAAGGCAACGAUGCGUAGCCGACCUGAGAGGGUGAUCGGCCACACUGGAACUGAGACACGGUCCAGACUCCUACGGGAGGCAGCAGUAGGGAAUCUUCCGCAAUGGGUGAAAGCCUGACGGAGCAACGCCGCGUGAGUGAUGAAGGUCUUCGGAUCGUAAAACUCUGUUAUUAGGGAAGAACAAAUGUGUAAGUAACUAUGCACGUCUUGACGGUACCUAAUCAGAAAGCCACGGCUAACUACGUG